GGAAGUGCUCCCAAAUUGGUCCCGCC
rnacentral:sRNA from 1 species